UUGUUUAUAUGGGUUUUAUCUUCUGAUUCUGGUCUGGUCUUAGCUUUGGUCUUUUUGAUUUAGCUUUGGUCUUUUUGAUUUGUGCCUCUAAGUUUUAAUAGAUCUGCUGUGAUGAAAAAACCGUGUGCCAGAGAUGGAGACUAUGUUCUUUAUCGCUGACGGCUAAACACAACCCUCUAAGAAGUUCUGAGCUUUUUUCUAGAUCUAUUUUUUUCUUCUAUUGGUUGCUUUGAAACUUGUUUUGGAGUCGAGGUGACGAUAGAAAAUUCACAAGUCUGUCAAUCCCCUGAAACAUAUUGUGAUGUUAUUGUGAUAUCUCGACAGGAAUCCCUGGAAAGGCGAAUAAUGAGCAUAUCUGGAUGAUGGCGUAGGUUUAUUACCUUCCGUUAUCCUAUAUUUUGUCUUGACAAACUCAACUGUUCCUGUCUGAACCGAUCGAUUUCAACCUCUACUGUUCCUGUUUGAACCUAUCUAUUUCAACCUGUUCUAUGUCGUUACUGGUGUUCUGGUGUUAAUCUGUGGUAGUCUGUUAUAUGAAUUAUAAUUAAUUUUGUAAAAGAACCAGAAAUAAUAAUUACCAGCUCGUACGCUGUUAGUUUAUGUCU